CGCAGUAUUCACCUGCACGAAAGAGAGCAGCCAGAGGUGCGUGGAGCUUGUGAGGAGAAGCAGAAGGGCAGGGGCAGCUCCUGGUCCACCAUCCUCCUCCUGGUCCUGGUAGCAGCACCACUGCAAGCCCUUUAGUCUGGAAGGAGCACUUGGAGAACGUGCUACUGCUGGCUGAGAGGGGUUGAAGCAAGUCUGAAGUGAACCGGCGGUGAUAUGAAGGUCUAUCCUUCAUCUUCUAUCGUGCGUGAUUUAGACUAAGCCCUCAGUUGCGAGGACCGUCAUUUUAUAUUCGUCUCUGCCUGAAGUGGAGAUACUUAUUAUUGGUUUCUGAAAGAAUGAGGGAUAUAACAGAU